rnacentral:rRNA from 1 species
UAAUGUAUGGGGAUCUGCCCGAUAGAGGGGGAUAACUACUGGAAACGGUGGCUAAUACCGCAUAAUGUCUACGGACCAAAGCAGGGGCUCUUCGGACCUUGCACUAUCGGAUGAACCCAUAUGGGAUUAGCUAGUAGGUGGGGUAAAGGCUCACCUAGGCACGAUCUCUAGCUGGUCUGAGAGGAUGAUCAGCCACACUGGGACUGAGACACGGCCCAG